UACGUAGGGCGCAAGCGUUGUCCGGAAUUAUUGGGCGUAAAGAGCUCGUAGGUGGUUUGUCGCGUUGUUCGUGAAAACUCACAGCUUAACUGUGGGCGUGCGGGCGAUACGGGCAGACUGGAGUACUGCAGGGGAGACUGGAAUUCCUGGUGUAGCGGUGGAAUGCGCAGAUAUCAGGAGGAACACCGGUGGCGAAGGCGGGUCUCUGGGCCAUAACUGACACUGAGAGACGAAAGCUAGGGGAGCAAAUGGG
rnacentral:rRNA from 1 species